rnacentral:rRNA from 1 species
AUUGAACGCUGGCGGCAGGCCUAACACAUGCAAGUCGAACGAGUGGCGGACGGGUGAGUAAUGUCUGGGAAACUGCCUGAUGGAGGGGGAUAACUACUGGAAACGGUAGCUAAUACCGCAUACCAUCAGAUGUGCCCAGAUGGGACUAGCGUGUUGGUGGGGUAACGGCUCACCAAGGCUACAAUCCCUAGCUGUGCUGAGAGGAUGACAAGGCACACAGGAACUGAGACACGGUCCAAACUCUUACGGGAGGCAGCAGUGGGGAAUAGUGCACAAUGGGCGCAAGCCUGAUGCAGACAUGCCGCGUGUAUGAAGAAGGCCUUCGGGUUGUAAAGUACUUUCAGCGGGGAGGCGUUACCCGCAGAAGAAGGACCGGCUAGGUCCGUGCCAGCAGCCGCGGUAAUAC